rnacentral:rRNA from 1 species
UACGUAGGGGGCAAGCGUUGUCCGGAUUUAUUGGGCGUAAAGAGCGUGUAGGCGGCUAGACAGGUCCGCUGUGAAAACUCGAGGCUCAACCUCGAGACGUCGGUGGAAACCGUCUGGCUAGAGUCCGGAAGAGGAGAGUGGAAUUCCCGGUGUAGCGGUGAAAUGCGCAGAUAUCAGGAGGAACACCGGUGGCGAAGGCGGUGGGCUGGGCCGGCACUGACGCUGAGGAGCGAAAGCGUGGGGAGCGAACAGG